rnacentral:rRNA from 1 species
GCGCGUCCUUCGGGACGAGCGGCAGACGGGUGAGUAACACGUGGGAAUCUACCCAGCUCUACGGAAUAAUUCAGGGAAACUUGGACUAAUACCGUAUACGCCCUUCGGGGGAAAGAUUUAUCGGAGUUGGAUGAGCCCGCGUCUGAUUAGCUAGUUGGUGGGGUAAUGGCCUACCAAGGCGACGAUCAGUAGCUGGUCUGAGAGGAUGAUCAGCCACACUGGGACUGAGACACGGCCCAGACUCCUACGGGAGGCAGCAGUGGGGAAUAUUGGACAAUGGGCGCAAGCCUGAUCCAGCCAUGCCGCGUGAGUGAUGAAGGCCCUAGGGUUGUAAAGCUCUUUCACCGGUGAAGAUAAUGACGGUAACCGGAGAAGAAGCCCCGGCUAACUUCGUGCCAGCAGCCGCGGUAAUACGAAGGGGGCUAGCGUUGUUCGGAAUUACUGGGCGUAAAGCGCACGUAGGCGGAUUGUUAAGUGAGGGGUGAAAUCCCAGGGCUCAACCCUGGAACUGCCUCUCAUACUGGCAAUCUCGAGUUUGGGAGAGGUGAGUGGAAUUCCGAGUGUAGAGGUGAAAUUCGUAGAUAUUCGGAGGAACACCAGUGGCGAAGGCGGCUCACUGGCCCAAAACUGA